GUAUGAUCGGGAGCAAGUGUAGGCCUUGUAGGUUGCACAGUUGGUGAAGGUGUGUGAGGUUGCAAGCCCUCCACGCUCUGUGUGGGAAUGUAUCAUUACAGAGAUUGAUUGUGUGUAGUGGCAUCACCAGGGACCACGGUCUGGCAGAGCAGAACGUGUCUCUGUGGUUAUCUCAUGUGUUGUACAGAAGUUUAGAGGUGGACAGGGUGCUCAGGGGUGUACGCCGCAAAUGUCUGGGUAUCCACGUAGCCGCCGCGAGGUGUCCCACUGCAGCUGGCCUCAAUCUCCAUCCAUUUGUGGGUGUAUAAGUUGGAGCCAGAAUGUUAGCUGUUUGUGUUGCCAAAUAAUAUGCCUUAAGAUUUGGGAAUCCGAGUCCCCAUUUGUCUGUCGGACUCAUGAGUAGUGUUCUAGGGACCCUGGGAUGUUUCCCUCCCCAACUAAAUUUAAUCAGACUAGAUUGUAGCCUUUGUAGGUACGACUGUGGCAGGGGUAUUUGCAGGGAGCGGAGCAUGUAGAGGAUUUUCAGUAGGACUGUCAUUUUGAAAGCCGCUAUUCGGCCCAGCCAUGACAGAAAUUUAUUCUGCCAUGAGUGUAGUAUGUGCUCUACUUCUUUGGCUAGUUUAAUGUAGUUAGUAGCAAAGAGGUUUGUGUGUUUUUUAGUUAGUUUUAUGCCUAAG